UUUUCAGUGUCGCAGCGAAACCGAUAAACACACCGCCUGGGGAGUACGACCGCAAGGUUAAAACUCAAAUGAAUUGACGGGGACCCGCACAAGUAGUGGAGCAUGUGGUUUAAUUCGAAGAUACGCGCAGAACCUUACCAACACUUGACAUGUUCGUCGCGACUCUAAGAGAUUAGAGUUUUCGGUUCGGCCGGACGAAACACAGGUGCUGCAUGGCUGUCGUCAGCUCGUGUCGUGAGAUGUUGGGUUAAGUCCCGCAACGAGCGCAACCCUCACUUUUAGUUGCCAUCAUUAAGUUGGGCACUCUGAAAGAACUGCCAGUGAUAAGCUGGAGGAAGGUGGGGAUGACGUCAAGUCCUCAUGGCCCUUACGUGUUGGGCUACACACGUGCUACAAUGGUAUCUACAACAGGAAGCAAGACUGCGAAGUUAAGCAAAUCCCUAAAAGAUACCUCAGUUCGGAUUGCACUCUGCAACUCGAGUGCAUGAAGCUGGAAUUACUAGUAAUCGUGGAUCAGCGUGCCACGGUGAAUGCGUUCCCGGGUCUUGUACACACCGCCCGUCACACCAUGGGAGUUGGUUCUACCUUAAGGCAAGGUUUUAAACCCUUGACCACGGUAUAGUCAGCGACUGGGGUGAAGUCGUAACAAGGUAGCCGUAGGGGAACCUGCGGCUGGAUUACCUCCUU
rnacentral:rRNA from 1 species